rnacentral:misc_RNA from 1 species
CCCCAUCCCAGGCAUCAUUACAGCCAUUACUGGCAUCUCCUUGAUAUCCAACUUGUCGCGAAGGACCUCGGUAAGGUCAGAGAUUUCGAGAAGCGUUAGUUGGGAGAUCUCAUCGACGAGGGCGGCGAGUUUAUCAGAUGGAGCAGAUGGGCUCCAUUCUCGAGAAGCGGAAGACAAAUUACGAGUGAAAACAGAGGAUUUGGGUAGCCAUUUUGUAGGGUUUUGAAGGAGGGUUUUGUGGAAUAUUGAUAAAUGUGGAGAAAUGAAUCGCAAAUUCCUCAUUUUAAAUUGAAGGGCAGACUUUGAUUUUGGAUUUGGAUUUGAUUAGGUAAUACAUUGACUUGCUAUCUGAUCAUUAUGGCAGGUGGAGGAAGUGAUCACUAAGUGACUGAGUUCAUGGCAAUGGCAUUGAAGCAGGAACAUAACCCUACAGAGGAGACGAGGAACCUACAGAGGAGAAGAGGAUUUUGCUGUUUCUU